rnacentral:rRNA from 1 species
GAUGAACGCUAGCUACAGGCUUAACACAUGCAAGUCGAGGGGAAACGGCGUUGAGUGCUUGCACUCUUCGGACGUCGACCGGCGCACGGGUGAGUAACGCGUAUCCAACCUUCCCAUAACUAAGGGAUAACCUACCGAAAGGCAGACUAAUACCUUAUGUAAUUCUUAGAUGACAUCAGAAGAGAAUGAAAGAUUUAUCGGUUAUGGAUGGGGAUGCGUCUGAUUAGCUUGUUGGCGGGGUAACAGCCCACCAAGGCAACGAUCAGUAGGGGUUCUGAGAGGAAGGUCCCCCACAUUGGAACUGAGACACGGUCCAAACUCCUACGGGAGGCAGCAGUGAGGAAUAUUGGUCAAUGGGCGAGAGCCUGAACCAGCCAAGUAGCGUGCAGGAUGACGGCCCUAUGGGUUGUAAACUGCUUUUGUAUGGGAUAAAGUCAAUCACGUGUGAUUGUUUGCAGGUACCAUACGAAUAAGGACCGGCUAAUUCCGUGCCAGCAGCCGCGGUAAUACGGAAGGUUCGGGCGUUAUCCGGAUUUAUUGGGUUUAAAGGGAGCGUAGGCCGGAGAUUAAGUGUGUUGUGAAAUGUAGACGCUCAACGUCUGACUUGCAGCGCAUACUGGUUUCCUUGAGUACGCACAACGUUGGCGGAAUUCGUCGUGUAGCGGUGAAAUGCUUAGAUAUGACGAAGAACUCCGAUUGCGAAGGCAGCUGACGGGAGCGCCACUGACGCUUAAGCUCGAAGGUGCGGGUAUCGAACAGG